rnacentral:misc_RNA from 1 species
GUGAAUCAUCAAAUUUUUGAACGCAAAUUGCACUCUCUUCGGAGAGUAUGCCUGUUUGAGGGUCAGUAUUAAUAAAAAUCGGUGUGUUGCUUCUUUGUGACGCUCCGGAGUUUGGGUCAUCUUAAUAUCCUUUAGGUUUUAAGAGGCGUAAAAUUGACUUUUUUUGCGCAUUUUAGAUGUACAUAAAUUCUUUUUUUAUUCGUCUGUCUUAAUGCUCAAAAUCCAAUUAAAUUCAACCAAUUCGGUUGGUUUCGGUUU